UACGUAGGGUGCGAGCGUUGUCCGGAAUUAUUGGGCGUAAAGAGCUCGUAGGUGGUGUGUCACGUCGGCCGUGAAAACCUGCAGCUUAACUGUGGGCGUGCGGUCGAUACGGGCAUCACUGGAGGUAUGCAGGGGAGAACGGAAUUCCUGGUGUAGCGGUGAAAUGCGCAGAUAUCAGGAGGAACACCGGUGGCGAAGGCGGUUCUCUGGGCAUUACCUGACGCUGAGGAGCGAAAGUGUGGGGAGCGAACAGG
rnacentral:rRNA from 1 species